rnacentral:misc_RNA from 1 species
GAAAUGCGAUAAGUAAUGUGAAUUGCAGAAUUCGGUGAAUCAUCGAAUCUUUGAACGCACAUUGCGCCCGCCAGUAUUCUGGCGGGCAUGCCUGUUCGAGCGUCAUUUCAACCAUCAAGCCCCCGGCUUGUGUUGGGGACCUGCGGCUGCCCGCAGGCCCUGAAAAACAGUGGCGGGCUCGCUGUCACACCGAGCGUAGUAGCAUACAUUCUCGCUCAGGGCGUGCUGCGGGUCCCGGCCGUUAAACGACCUUCAUAACCCAAGGUUGACCUCGGAUCAGGUAGGAAGACCCGCUGAACUUAAGC